rnacentral:rRNA from 1 species
CCUACGGGUGGCUGCAGUGGGGAAUAUUGGACAAUGGGCGAAAGCCUGAUCCAGCCAUGCCGCGUGUGUGAAGAAGGCCUUCGGGUUGUAAAGCACUUUCAGUGGGGAAGAAAGCCUUGGGGCUAAUACCCUCGAGGAAGGACAUCACCCACAGAAGAAGCACCGGCUAACUCCGUGCCAGCAGCCGCGGUAAUACGGAGGGUGCGAGCGUUAAUCGGAAUUACUGGGCGUAAAGCGCGCGUAGGCGGUCUGAUAAGCCGGUUGUGAAAGCCCCGGGCUCAACCUGGGAACGGCAUCCGGAACUGUCAGGCUAGAGUGCAGGAGAGGAAGGUAGAAUUCCCGGUGUAGCGGUGAAAUGCGUAGAGAUCGGGAGGAAUACCAGUGGCGAAGGCGGUCUUCUGGACUGACACUGACGCUGAGGUGCGAAAGCGUUGGUAGCAAACAGGAUUAGAUACCCUAGUAGUC